rnacentral:rRNA from 1 species
GCCCAGAGCCAUAUCACCCUGCAGCUCUCACCUGGUUUCCAAUGAAAUUGAACAGGACUGACUGAGCCUGGCCAGUACCUGGAUGGGAGACCUCCUGGGGAAAACUAAGGUUGCUGCU